rnacentral:rRNA from 1 species
AAUAUUUCGCAAUGGAGGGAACUCUGACGCAGCGACGCCGCGCGAGCGAUGAAGGUCUUCGGAUCGUAAAGCUCUCUCUUUGGGGAAGAAGGUCUUCGGACUUACCGGUACCUUCGGCUGAAGCCUCGGCCAACUACGUGCCAGCAGCCGCGGUAAUACGUAGGGGGCAAGCGUUGUCCGGAAUUAUUGGGCGUAAAGGGUGCGUAGGCGGCCUUUUAAGUCAGAUGUGAAAGCCCACGGCUUAACCGUGGGACUGCAUUUGAAACUGGAGGGCUUGAGUAUCGGAGAGGGUAGUGGAAUUCCCAGUGUAGCGGUGGAAUGCGUAGAUAUUGGGAGGAACACCAGUGGCGAAGGCGACUACCUGGACGAAAACUGACGCUGAGGCACGAAAGCUAGGGGAGCAAAC